UACGUAGGGGGCAAGCGUUGUCCGGAUUUAUUGGGCGUAAAGAGCGUGUAGGCGGCUAGGUAGGUCCGUUGUGAAAACUCGAGGCUCAACCUCGAGCUGUCGAUGGAAACCAUCUGGCUAGAGUCCGGAAGAGGAGAGUGGAAUUCCUGGUGUAGCGGUGAAAUGCGCAGAUAUCAGGAAGAACACCCGUGGCGAAGGCGGCUCUCUGGUAAGUGACUGACGCUGAGACGCGAAAGCGUGGGGAGCGAACAGG
rnacentral:rRNA from 1 species